ACGCUGGCGGCAUGCUUUACACAUGCAAGUCGGACGGCAGCGGGGUAGUGCUUGCACUACUGCCGGCGAGUGGCGAACGGGUGAGUAAUAUAUUGGAACGUACCGAGUAAUGGGGGAUAACCAAUCGAAAGAUUGGCUAAUACCGCAUACGCUCUGAGGAGGAAAGCAGGGGACCUUCGGGCCUUGCGUUAUUCGAGCGGCCAAUAUCUGAUUAGCUAGUUGGUGGGGUAAAGGCCUACCAAGGCGACGAUCAGUAGCGGGUCUGAGAGGAUGAUCCGCCACACUGGGACUGAGACACGGCCCAGACUCCUACGGGAGGCAGCAGUGGGGAAUUUUGGACAAUGGGCGCAAGCCUGAUCCAGCCAUGCCGCGUGUCUGAAGAAGGCCUUCGGGUUGUAAAGGACUUUUGUUAGGGAAGAAAAAGGAGCGGUUAAUACCCGUUUCUGCUGACGGUACCUAAAGAAUAAGCACCGGCUAACUACGUGCCAGCAGCCGCGGUAAUACGUAGGGUGCGAGCGUUAAUCGGAAUUACUGGGCGUAAAGCGAGCGCAGACGGUUACUUAAGCAGGAUGUGAAAUCCCCGGGCUUAACCUGGGAACUGCGUUCUGAACUGGGUGGCUAGAGUAUGUCAGAGGGGGGUAGAAUUCCACGUGUAGCAGUGAAAUGCGUAGAGAUGUGGAGGAAUACCGAUGGCGAAGGCAGCCCCCUGGGAUAAUACUGACGUUCAUGCUCGAAAGCGUGGGUAGCAAACAGGAUUAGAUACCCUGGUAGUCCACGCCCUAAACGAUGUCGAUUAGCUGUUGGGCAGCUUGACUGCUUAGUAGCGUAGCUAACGCGUGAAAUCGACCGCCUGGGGAGUACGGUCGCAAGAUUAAAACUCAAAGGAAUUGACGGGGACCCGCACAAGCGG
rnacentral:rRNA from 1 species